rnacentral:lncRNA from 1 species
CAUUGAAAUGAAAAGGCAUUUACCAGGAGCAGGAAAGCCAGAAAGAGGAGCAGUGUGCCAGGAGUUGCCCGACGGCAGCAUUCCAUGCUUGGAUCCUUGCCGGAAUCAGAAUCGGACACUGAAUAAGCUGCUAAGUGCUCCUCUGCCUGCUGUCACAUCCAGUACUGGUGCUAACACUCCAGUCCUGCCUAUCAGCUUCCAUCAGCCCCUCUCACAUUUCCUGACAAGCUGAAUGGAAUCUCUCUCGGAGCAGGCAGCCAGCCAAUCAGGCUCCUGCUAAUCAGACAUGCUGAAUAACAAAGCCAGGAGGACAGAGAAAGUGUAA